GCCCCCUUCCGGCCCGCGCCGCGCCCGGCCAUGGUGGGGAAAGCCCGGCGCCCCCGGCUGCACCGCAGCGCGCCCCGCCCGGCAGACCCGGCGGGCCCCGGCCCCGGCCCCGGCGGCUGGAGCGCGCCCGCCGGGAAGGACUGGGACUUUUCUUCAUCUGACAUAUUUUCUGGGCUGAAUAUCGACCCCGAUACACUGGUGAAGAAACUUGACUUGGACUCCAGAAGCAUCAUUUCCUCUAGAACAGGUGAGAAG